UACAGAGGGGGCAAGCGUUGUUCGGAAUUACUGGGCGUAAAGGGCGCGUAGGCGGCCUUCUAAGUCGAACGUGAAAUCCCUGGGCUUAACCCAGGAACUGCGUCCGAUACUGGGAGGCUUGAAUUCGGGAGAGGGAUGCGGAAUUCCAGGUGUAGCGGUGAAAUGCGUAGAUAUCUGGAGGAACACCGGUGGCGAAGGCGGCGUUCUGGACUGCAACUGACACUGAGGAACGAAAGCCAGGGGAGCAAACGGG
rnacentral:rRNA from 1 species